UUAGUGAUUUUCUCGUAUAUAUAAUACCAUGUAUUUAAAAUAAUUCUCUUUUUAAUGUGUCGUUUGUCUGCAUUCGGCUUCAGCCAAGCGCUUGCACUCGGUGACACGGAAUGUUGUUUACAUCUAAAACCGUGGCGACAUCAGCUGAGAUUUGCAGUGGAUUUAAAUGCAAUAACCACACAAUCUUAAAAGAAAAUAGGGAUGAAAUAAGAGACACAGCAUUGCUUCUUCCUUUUACGAGAAUAUGAGGACAUUAUUUCGGAAAAUAGCAGAAAACUGAGACGAUAUGCACCAGCUCCGUAGAUCGAUCACUGCACUGAAAUUCCAGGCCAGCUGUCAAGGGUAUCAGACUUAAAGAAUGAAUAAAUGAAAAAUGCAUCAUUUCUCCACAGGGCAUAGCUUUUCCCUUGGACUAAUGGAUUCACCGAGGCGGGAAGUUAAUUUAAGGAAAAUGAAUUCAUUUUAUCCCCAAGAACAUGAAGUGAUGGAAAUAAUUUGCACCUGUCCAGCAUUCCUAGGCCUACAGUCUAUCAUUGGAUUUGAAAAGAAAUGUUUAUUUAAUAAAUUUUCUAGAUAAAUAAAAUAAUUUGACUUUUUAA